rnacentral:lncRNA from 1 species
GGGGACUUUGUGGUGCGCUGCUUCCGGAGGAGCGGCGAGACCCAGGCAAAGACUUGCGUCACCUUUACCCCCGCAAAAUCAAGUGCCUUAUAUUGUCAUUUCAUUGUCGUUCCAGCGCCUUUUCAGAAAGAAAAAGAGAGAAAGAAAAAAAAAGAGAGAAAAGAAAACAUGGUUCUAACUAAAGAUUUUUUUUAAACCGGUUUUAUGGGGCCUCUCGCUUAUGCCAUAAUCCAUUUUGUCCCUGGGACGCUUUUCGUCCAAAGACACAGGGUCACCUUGGCGCGCCCCCAACCCCCAGCGUCAGGCGCCAGUCGCCGGGUCCGGACGGCUUGUCCCCCUACUCUCAGCGACCUUCAGUCUAGCGCAGGCCAGAGUCCCCACAGGCAAAGAGUUCUCUUUUCCUUCGUUGCUCCCUUCUUACCUCCCUUCCUUCCUUCUGAUCUUAUUCCUUCUUCUCUCUCCCUCUCUUCCUUCCUUUUGUUUCUUUCCUCUUUUCCUUCCCUCCUUUUAUUUUUAAUUCUCAAAAAAAAAAUCCAACAUAUUCUAGAAAUGUCAGGUGGUGGCGGAAGCGCGAAGGUCGCCCCAACUCCCUGUCCCGGCUCCCCGCCCCCCCCCCUUCCCCGCGUGUGGCUUGGGGUAAAGACCACGCAGACCCAACGCCGAGGUCCCCAAGGCGGUGGGAAUCACGUCCCAGGGUGCGCGGGACCCGGCGGCCCCUCUCCCGGCGCUGCCCGGGGCCGACCCCUCGCGCCGCCGGCGGCCGCCAGCACGGCGCGGAGGUGGGCUCACUGCAGCGGCGCACGAAAGGUCACCGCGGUGGCAUUCCUCUCCGCGCGCUGUUUACGUGACUUAAUGUACUUCAUACGCCGCGGGUAAGUUAGGGCCGCGAUAAGGGGGCGACCGGGGGAGGGU